rnacentral:rRNA from 1 species
GAGGAAUAUUGGUCAAUGGGCGAGAGCCUGAACCAGCCAAGUCGCGUGAAGGAUGACCGUCUUAUGGAUUGUAAACUUCUUUUAUACGGGAAUAACAAGAGCCACGUGUGGCUCCCUGCAUGUACCGUAUGAAUAAGCAUCGGCUAACUCCGUGCCAGCAGCCGCGGUAAUACGGAGGAUGCGAGCGUUAUCCGGAUUUAUUGGGUUUAAAGGGUGCGUAGGCGGCCUGUUAAGUCAGCGGUGAAAUCUAGGAGCUUAACUCCUAAAUUGCCAUUGAUACUGGCGGGCUUGAGUGUAGAUGAGGUAGGCGGAAUGCGUGGUGUAGCGGUGGAAUGCAUAGAUAUCACGCAGAACUCCGAUUGCGAAGGCAGCUUACUAAGGUACAACUGACGCUGAAGCACGAAAGCGUGGGUAUCAAACAGGAUUAGAUACCCUGGUAGUCCACGCAGUAAACGAUGAUAACUGGGCGUAUGCGAUAUACAGUAUGCUCCUAAGCGAAAGCGUUAAGUUAUCCACCUGGGGAGUACGCCGGCAACGGUG